rfam:Oscillatoriales cyanobacterium JSC-12 chromosome, whole genome shotgun sequence.
CCUGGUGUCUAUGGCGAUGUGGCUCCACCCUGACCCUUCCCGAACUCAGGUGUGAAACGCAUCUGCGGCAAAGAUAGUUGGACGGCUGCGUCCCGCAAAAAUAGCUCGAUGCCAGGA